CAGGACGAACGCUGGCGGCGUGCCUAAUACAUGCAAGUCGAACGGUCUUUUCUAUGGAAGCUUGCUUCCACUGAGAAGAUAGUGGCGAACGGGUGAGUAACACGUGGGUAACCUGCCCAUAAGAGGGGGGAUAACAUCCGGAAACGGGUGCUAAUACCGCAUAGUUUUCUUGAUCGCAUGAUCGGGAAAGGAAAGACGGCCUUUGUGCUGUCGCUUAUGGAUGGACCCGCGGCGUAUUAGUUAGUUGGUGAGGUAAUGGCUCACCAAGACGAUGAUACGUAGCCGACCUGAGAGGGUGAUCGGCCACAUUGGGACUGAGACACGGCCCAAACUCCUACGGGAGGCAGCAGUAGGGAAUCUUCCGCAAUGGACGAAAGUCUGACGGAGCAACGCCGCGUGAGUGAAGAAAGGUUUUCGGAUCGUAAAACUCUGUUGUCAGAGAAGGACAAGUUGGAGAGUAACUGCUCCAGCCUUGACGGUAUCUGACCAGAAAGCCACGGCUAACUACGUGCCAGCCGCCGC
rnacentral:rRNA from 1 species